UAGCAGCACUCACUUAGCAGAUGAAGAAUAACGAUUGUGCAGCGCUGGCGACAAUGACGAUAGUGUAAGGAAAUGAGUUGAGUUUGAAUAUUGUAAGAAGUAGCAACAUUUUCAUUAUGGAGAAAUUAGGCUUUUGCUAAAGCGAGCAAUACACGAGAGUAGAAGAUAGAAGGAUGAAUACUAAAAGCAGGAAGAAAGAAGAAAAGAACCUGAAAAGAAAGAAUAAUCGAUGCCGUGUUGUAAAGAAGGUGUGGUGACUGCCACGUGAUUAUAUGUGACGUCAAUCGAUUGCUGACGUAAUACGAGCUUGCUUAGAUAUAGUCGCUUAUGGCCCCUCUCUUACUGAGGAACAAGUGGGAAGAAAGACAGCCAAUGCUGAAAAUACAAAGGAAAAUAUUGCUACAUGUCAAAAUGGCAAAAGAAUUAUGUUGGAAGUAAUAUUAUUUAUUGGUUCGUCAACAGUGAAAAUGAAGUAUUUACCUGCCACAUAGAGACCGUUUUGUCAGAAGGAUACAGGAAGGAUGAAGUUAUAUAGAAAUAAAAUAUUUUUUCCA